CUAGCCGGGGAUAAUUUCCACAUGCUAAACUCAGCUGCUGUAGUUCUUCUUCCUAAAAAAGAUGGUGCUGCAGCGAUCAACGACUACAGACCGAUUAGCUUAGUGCAUUCGAUUGCGAAACUGAUCUCCAAAGUGCUCUCGCUUCGCCUUGCAAUGGUGAUCCCGAGUUUGAUCUCACCGGCGCAGACAGCGUUCCUCAGGACAAAAUGCAUACAUGAUAGCUACCUAUAUGUGCAAAACUGUGUUAAGGCACUU
rnacentral:rRNA from 1 species